CACGUAGGGGGCAAGCGUUGUCCGGAUUUAUUGGGCGUAAAGAGCUCGUAGGCGGUUCGGUAAGUCAGGUGUGAAACCUCCAGGCUCAACCUGGAGACGCCACUUGAUACUGCUGUGACUGGAGUCCGGUAGGGGAGCGUGGAAUUCCUGGUGUAGCGGUGAAAUGCGUAGAUAUCAGGAGGAACACCUGUGGUGUAGACGGCUUUCUGGACCAUUGCUGACGCUGAGACACGAAAGCGUGGGUAGCAAACAGG
rnacentral:rRNA from 1 species